UGGGGAAUUUUGGACAAUGGGCGAAAGCCUGAUCCAGCAAUGCCGCGUGUGUGAAGAGGCCUUCGGGUUGUAAAGCACUUUUGUCCGGAAAGAAAUCCUUGGCUCUAAUACAGUCGGGGGAUGACGGUACCGGAAGAAUAAGCACCGGCUAACUACGUGCCAGCAGCCGCGGUAAUACGUAGGGUGCAAGCGUUAAUCGGAAUUACUGGGCGUAAAGCGUGCGCAGGCGGUUUGCUAAGACCGAUGUGAAAUCCCCGGGCUCAACCUGGGAACUGCAUUGGUGACUGGCAGGCUAGAGUAUGGCAGAGGGGGGUAGAAUUCCACGUGUAGCAGUGAAAUGCGUAGAGAUGUGGAGGAAUACCGAUGGCGAAGGCAGCCCCCUGGGCCAAUACUGACGCUCAUGCACGAAAGCGUGGGGAGCAAACAGGAUUAGAUACCCUGGUAGUCCACGCCCUAAACGAUGUCAACUAGUUGUUGGGGGAUUCAUUUCCUUAGUAACGUAGCUAACGCGUGAAGUUGACCGCCUGGGGGAGUACGGUCGCAAGAUUAAAACUCAAAUGAAUUGACGGGGUCAUAGCUGUUU
rnacentral:rRNA from 1 species